CACGUAGGGUGCGAGCGUUGUCCGGAAUUAUUGGGCGUAAAGAGCUCGUAGGCGGUGUGUCGCGUCGGCCGUGAAAACCUGCAGCUUAACUGUGGGCUUGCGGUCGAUACGGGCAUCACUGGAGUUCGGCAGGGGAGACUGGAAUUCCUGGUGUAGCGGUGAAAUGCGCAGAUAUCAGGAGGAACACCGGUGGCGAAGGCGGGUCUCUGGGCCGAUACUGACGCUGAGGGAGCGAAAGCCGUGGGGAGCGAACAGG
rnacentral:rRNA from 1 species